rnacentral:snRNA from 1 species
GUCCUCGCUUCAGCAGCACAUAUACUAAAAAAUUGGAACGAUACAGAGAAGAUUAGCAUGGUCCCUGUGCAAGGAUGACACACAAAUUUGUGAAAUGUUCCCAAAAAAA